UUACGGCCAUGUCACGUUGAAACACCGAUUCUCGUGCGAUCAUCUAAGUUAAGCAACAUUGAGCCUGGUCAGUACCUAGCCGGGUGACCGCUUGGUAAUACCAGGUGCUGUAA